GUUAUAUUUCUGGGCUGUCAAUUCUGUUCCAUUGAUCUGUGUGUCUGUUUUUGUGCCAGUAGUAUGCUGUUUGGAUUACUAUAUGUUUGCAGUAGAUUUUGAAAUCAGGGAGUAUGAUACCUCCAGCUUUGUUCUUUUUUCUCGGGAUU